CGAGCCUUCCGCGAGGCUCCGCCGGGGAGCUCGGCUCACCUGGCGACUGCUAAUUACGGGGGAGUGUGCCCCCUACAUUCCUGGGCGCUUUCUUUUCUCGGAGGAAACUCGAGCCCGUCUCUCCGGCCUCGGACGGCUCCAGCCCAGCCAGGCCAGCGCGGUGGCCGAGCCCAGGCUGGGAGGAGCACGGCGCCCGGGGCCCGCAGGACUCUCCCCGCCUUCCGCAGCUGCCCCGAACACGUCGGCGGCGGAGCGCGUGGCUCGCUGGGCGUCUCCGGCUCCGCGCGGGGGAGGGCUCCCCGCGAAAGUUCCCCUCCUUACCCCGAAGGUGAAAAUCGCGACCUUUCCCUAGUGACAAUUGCCAGCUGCCGGCGGGGCUCCCCUUCCGGGCCUCGAACCCCGAACUCCGGCUCCUCCAGGGUCCCGGGGCCUCCCGGCCUGGAAACCCGGCCCCCCGAGCCCCGGCUCCCCAGCUUACCCGAUCACCUUUUGUCUUACAACUUCCUUCUGUGCCUUCCUGCUGAUGAAUGAGGUCAUUCCACCCUCUGCUGCCAGGCAGUCAUCCGAGGAGCUGAAGGGAGAGCAGAGGCUUAACCUUUAACACCCCACAGUCCAGCUGUGUGGGUCAGAGCUGGAGGAGACAGGGGAGGAGACAAGCCACCAUAAAAGCAUGAGAGCAAAGGUCGGUGACACAGGGAUGCCUCUGCUGAUUCUUUUUAUCUACACCCACCUUAUCACACACCCGUAUUUAUGUUCGGGUACCAGGUGCCAUCUCACCAUGCCAACUGCUUUCACAUUGGACCCAGAGCAACUCAGACCUUCUGUGAUCUACCACUCUGAGCAUCAUAGUGCCUUCUUGCUUUAGAUUCCCGUGGAUGGACGGAGUGCAAUAAAACAAAGAAUACUAAAAAGGGAUGUAUUAGCCUCAUGGAUUUUGAAAUU